CACUUCGUCAUUCAGCUCUGUCGGAUCCCUGCUUCGAGUGAAGUGCUACUGUCCAGAUGGCCACAUUUUCUGUUGGGAAAGCCAGCCGUACAUAGCCAAUAAGCCUGCUGGGAAUGUGCUUUUGUCAGCUGCCAUUCUAUUCAGUGGAGCCAGCCCAAUACCAACACUGCGUAUGCUUCAACUGAUAAAUGUCAAGGCCAUCUGUGACAACACAUUUUUCUGCUACCAGCGAGGCUACCUUCUUCCCGCAAUAACAGAGGUAUGGAUACAACACCAAGCCACACUCCUGGUUGAGAUGCAGGGCAGGAGAAUCAACUUAGCUGCUGACGGACGGUGUGAUUCACCUGGACAUAAUGCAAAAUACCUUUCCUACAACUUCUACAACUGGGAGUUGAACAAAGUCAUCCACACUGUCCAGGUCCAGGUGUGUGGCUGCU